rnacentral:misc_RNA from 1 species
GAUCAUUACCGAGUGAGGGCCCUCUGGGUCCAACCUCCCACCCGUGUCUAUCGUACCUUGUUGCUUCGGCGGGCCCGCCGUUUCGACGGCCGCCGGGGAGGCCUUGCGCCCCCGGGCCCGCGCCCGCCGAAGACCCCAACAUGAACGCUGUUCUGAAAGUAUGCAGUCUGAGUUGAUUAUCGUAAUCAGUUAAAACUUUCAACAACGGAUCUCUUGGUUCCGGCAUCGAUGAAGAACGCAGCGAAAUGCGAUAAGUAAUGUGAAUUGCAGAAUUCAGUGAAUCAUCGAGUCUUUGAACGCACAUUGCGCCCCCUGGUAUUCCGGGGGGCAUGCCUGUCCGAGCGUCAUUGCUGCCCUCAAGCACGGCUUGUGUGUUGGGCCCCCGUCCCCCUCUCCCGGGGGACGGGCCCGAAAGGCAGCGGCGGCACCGCGUCCGGUCCUCGAGCGUAUGGGGCUUUGUCACCUGCUCUGUAGGCCCGGCCGGCGCCAGCCGACACCCAACUUUAUUUUUCUAAGGUUGACCUCGGAUC